rnacentral:rRNA from 1 species
AUUGAACGCUGGCGGCAUGCCUUACACAUGCAAGUCGAACGGCAGCACGGGAGCAAUCCUGGUGGCGAGUGGCGAACGGGUGAGUAAAGUAUCGGAACGUGCCCAGUCGUGGGGGAUAACGUAGCGAAAGUUACGCUAAUACCGCAUACGAGCUAUGGAUGAAAGCGGGGGAUCGCAAGACCUUGCACGAUUGGAGCGGCCGAUAUCAGAUUAGGUAGUUGGUGGGGUAAAGGCUCACCAAGCCGACGAUCUGUAGCUGGUCUGAGAGGACGACCAGCCACACUGGGACUGAGACACGGCCCAGCCUCCUACGGGAGGCAGCAGUGGGGAAUUUUGGACAAUGGGCGAAAGCCUGAUCCAGCCAUGCCGCGUGCAGGAUGAAGGCCUUCGGGUUGUAAACUGCUUUUGUACGGAACGAAAAGGUUUGGCCUAAUAAGCUGAGCUCAUGACGGUACCGUAAGAAUAAGCACCGGCUAACUACGUGCCAGCAGCCGCCGUAA